AGUGAACGCUGGCGGUAGGCCUAACACAUGCAAGUCGAACGGCAGCACAGUAAGAUCUUGCUCUUACGGGUGGCGAGUGGCGGACGGGUGAGGAAUACAUCGGAAUCUACUUUUUCGUGGGGGAUAACGUAGGGAAACUUACGCUAAUACCGCAUACGACCUACGGGUGAAAGCAGGGGAUCUUCGGACCUUGCGCGAAUGAAUGAGCCGAUGUCGGAUUAGCUAGUUGGCUGGGUAAAGGCCCACCAAGGCGACGAUCCGUAGCUGGUCUGAGAGGAUGAUCAGCCACACUGGAACUGAGACACGGUCCAGACUCCUACGGGAGGCAGCAGUGGGGAAUAUUGGACAAUGGGCGCAAGCCUGAUCCAGCCAUACCGCGUGGGUGAAGAAGGCCUUCGGGUUGUAAAGCCCUUUUGUUGGGAAAGAAAAGCAGCAGGUUAAUACCCCGCUGUUCUGACGGUACCCAAAGAAUAAGCACCGGCUAACUUCGUG
rnacentral:rRNA from 1 species